rnacentral:rRNA from 1 species
GAUGAACGCUGGCGGCGUGCCUAAUACAUGCCAGUCGAGCGAACAGACGCUGAGCUUGCUCCUCUGACGUUAGCGGCGGACGUGUGAGUAACACGUGCAUAACCUACCUAUAAGACUGGGAUAACUUCGUGAAACCGGUGCUAAUACCGGAUAAUAUCUUCAACCGCAUGGUUCAAUAGUUAAAGACGGUUUUGCUGUCUCUUAUAGAUGGUUCCGCGCUGCAUUAGCUAGUUGGUAAGGUAACGGCUUACCAAGGCAACGAUGCGUAGCCGACCUGAGAGGGUGAACGGCGACAGUGGAACUGAGACACGGUACAGACACCGACGGGAGGAAGAAGGAGGGAAUGGUGGGAAAGGGGGGAAAGAUUGACGGAGCAACGCCGCGUGAGUGAAGAAGGUCUGCGGAUCGUAAAACGCUGUUAGGAGGGAAGAACAAAUGUGGAAGGAACGAAGCACGUCGUGACGGUACCUAAAGAGAAAGCAACGGCUAACUACGUG